rnacentral:rRNA from 1 species
GACGAACGCUGGCGGCGUGCCUAAUACAUGCAAGUAGAACGCAGUUGCGAACGGGUGAGUAACGCGUAGGUAACUGCCUCAUAGCGGGGGAUAAAUAUAGGAAACGAUAGCUAAUACAGCAUACUGUGAGAUGGACCUGCGUUGUAUUAGCUAGUUGGUGAGGUAAAGGCUCACCAAGCCGACGAUACAUAGCCGACCUGGGAGGGUGAUCGGCCACGAUGGAACGUAGACCCGGCCCAUGCUCCUACGGGAGGUAGCAGGAGGGAAUCUUCGGAAAUGGACGGUAGUUGGACCGAGCAACGCCGCGUGAUUGAAGAAGGUUUUCGGAUCGUAAAGGUCUGUUGUUAGAGAAGCGAUAAUUAACCAGAAAGGGACGGCUAACUCCGUGCCAGCAGUCGCGGUAAUUC